rnacentral:lncRNA from 1 species
GUGACAACAGGAGCUAAGUGUGUGAGGCUAUACCUUGACGACAGUUGGGCCAGCAGAGCUCAGCAUCCGAGAAGACAGCGGAAGCCCCGUUGGGAGCAGCUGACAAUGUCAACAGACUGAAGGAAUCCUCAUGGCAUCCAGGUGAACAGCAGGUCAACUCUUGGUUCAGAUUAAGGUCCUAUCUGGCUCAUGUGCAAGAAGUACAAUAACCACAGGGAUCAUCUCCAUCCAAAGCAUAAAGACU